rnacentral:rRNA from 1 species
UACGGGGGGGCAAGCGUUGUUCGGAAUUACUGGGCGUAAAGGGCUCGUAGGCGGCCAACUAAGUCAGACGUGAAAUCCCUCGGCUUAACCGGGGAACUGCGUCUGAUACUGGAUGGCUUGAGUUUGGGAGAGGGAUGCGGAAUUCCAGGUGUAGCGGUGAAAUGCGUAGAUAUCUGGAGGAACACCGGUGGCGAAGGCGGCGAUCCUGGACCAACACUGACGCUGAGUGAGCGAAAGCCAGGGGAGC